AUUGAACGCUGGCGGCAGGCUUAACACAUGCAAGUCGAGCGGGGGAAGGUAGCUUGCUACCGGACCUAGCGGCGGACGGGUGAGUAAUGCUUAGGAAUCUGCCUAUUAGUGGGGGACAACAUCUCGAAAGGGAUGCUAAUACCGCAUACGUCCUACGGGAGAAAGCAGGGGAUCUUCGGAACUUGCGCUAAUAGAUGAGCCUAAGUCGGAUUAGCUAGUUGGUGGGGUAAAGGCCUUCCAAGGCGACGAUCUGUAGCGGGUCUGAGAGGAUGAUCCGCCACACUGGGACUGAGACACGGCCCAGACUCCUACGGGAGGCAGCAGUGGGGAAUAUUGGACAAUGGGGGGAACCCUGAUCCAGCCAUGCCGCGUGUGUGAAGAAGGCCUUAUGGUUGUAAAGCACUUUAAGCGAGGAGGAGGCUACUUUAGUUAAUACCUGGAGAUAGUGGACGUUACUCGCAGAAUAAGCACCGGCUAACUCUGUGCCAGCCGCCGCCGUAA
rnacentral:rRNA from 1 species